UCUUUACUUCUUGUAAACCUGUGUGGAACACUCAACGCCGGAGACACUGAGGCGAACAGAAGAGUUGGACUCUAUAAUAAUUAACGGCUCAUUGCAGUGAAACGCUUAAUGAGAUGUCGCUGAGGUUUCUUCUCCAGAGCUGAGUGGUCUCCACCUCUACGUACUCCUCCACCUUGAAAACCUAUAAACCUCACUGCGCUGGGUCUCAGUUAGAUUUUUAUUGGAGAUUUCUUGAAGACUUCUUGCCAAUGACUACAGCAAACACUCCUGCUUUACUAAGAAUCUCCUGGUGUCUUCUAAAAAGAAGCUAAAAAACUUUCCAAUGUUGGUUAAUUGUUGUCUUUUUUUUUUAAAGGGUCGUUGGGAGCGAGGACAGAGGAGCGAGAAGCUGAGCUGUUUUCUAUGUGAAAUGUAUUUUAGACUAUGCAUAUAGAAACAUUAUGCCGAAUAAUUUUAGUCGAGAGCUUCACUUUUCUUAUGUUUUGUAAAGUUGAAAACAAGCAAGCCGUAAUGUUCAUGUGAUCAAACCUUGCUUACAGCAGGCAGAAUACAAGUUAUGAUGUGUUUUACAAGAAAUUAAGUUUUUAGAUACUUGUGCUUCAUAAAGUAAAUGUACAUGUUAUAAUAACCAUGUUUAAAUUAUUCCAAAUAAACUUUGCUUAUAAGCGUGA